CCUACGGGAGGCAGCAGUGGGGAAUCUUGCGCAAUGGCCGCAAGGCUGACGCAGCGACGCCGCGUGUGGGAUGACGGCCUUCGGGUUGUAAACCACUGUCGGGAGGAACGCGGUACCUCCAAAGGAAGCACCGGCUAACUCCGUGCCAGCAGCCGCGGUAAUACGGAGGGUGCGAGCGUUGUCCGGAAUCACUGGGCGUAAAGGGCGCGUAGGUGGCCCGUUAAGUGGCUGGUGAAAUCCCGGGGCUCAACUCCGGGGCUGCCGGUCAGACUGGCGAGCUAGAGCACGGUAGGGGCAGAUGGAAUUCCCGGUGUAGCGGUGGAAUGCGUAGAUAUCGGGAAGAAUACCAGUGGCGAAGGCGUUCUGCUGGGCCGUGCUGACACUGAGGCGCGACAGCGUGGGGAGCAAACAGGAUUAGAUACCCUUGUAGUC
rnacentral:rRNA from 1 species